AACUAUAUCUCUACCCCGAUAUAACACAGUCCUUGGGAGACAAAAAAUCUCACCGCAUUGUAGGUGAGACCACGUUAUAUCAAACUUGCUUG